UUUUCGGUGGUAUAGUGGUUAGUGUGUUCGGUUUUUAUUGCGUGAAGGUGUUUGGUUCGAGUCCAAAAUCAAAAC